AGUUCUUUACGUAGAGCAGAACAAGUUCACGCAGUCCCGUUGCUGAAGUCACAGCAAACGUGGGUUAUCACAAUGUCAAAGUCAGAUCCCCCUCCAAGUUAUGAAGAGUCAAGAGAACAGCAGCAUGGAAACUAUCCAUUCCCUCCCUACGGGUAUCCAGCCCAGCCAAGGGUGUACACCGGCCCGGGACAGCCUGGCAUACACCCCCAGGCAGGGCUUUGGCAGGGCCCUGGAUACUACCCUUCAGCAAUGCCAUCUAUGAUGCCGUCCUUUAUAACACCAGGGAUAUUUUCCUCCAACCUAAUAGAUGUGGAGGGCAUUUCAGCAACUGGUGUAUGGGACAGCAUGAGUGUUCGACAUGCCUUCAUUAGAAAGGUUUACCUUAUUUUAGCCGUCCAGCUUUUUAUCACCGCUUCAAUCAUUGCGGUGUUUACAUCUGUUGAGCCUGUGCGUCUUUUUGUGGUCCAGAAUCCUGCCAUUUAUUGGGCAUCAUUCCCGGUGUAUCUUGUUACUUACCUUAUGCUGGUUUGCUGUGAGGGGCCGAGGAGACGUCAUCCAUGGAAUUUAAUACUCCUGUUCGUUUUUACCCUUACAUUAUCUUACAUGACAGGAACAAUAUCAAGUUAUUUUGACACCAAAGCUGUGUUCCUAGCCCUGGGGAUCACAGCAAUAGUGUGUAUUAUCGUCACAAUCUUCUGUUUUCAAACCAAGGUAAGCCCUGCAGUGGCAGAACCCACGGCUCUGAUCGACCGGUCGCUGGUGAAUGCCACUUUGUUCCUGGUGUAAAAUAACCCCAUUGUAUUUGAUUACAAUGAUCGACUGUCUCUUUUUAAACAUUCAUGGCAUACUGAUAGAUGUUUCAUGCUUAGUUGAGACAAAAACCCAACAAGUUUGUGUGUGUCCUUUGUUUUUUAAUAAAUACAUUUUUGCUUUUGUGUAAUAUAUUAUCCCCAUUUUACUUGUGAAAUCUACUUUUUUUUUUACAUUCAGCACAUAUUACAGUUUGCGACUGCUGAGGAUAUUUUUGUUUUGUCUUCUGCAUUUGAUCAGGUUGACUUCACCUCUUGUACAGGUCUGCUCUGUGCCCUUUGUGUGGUUCUUCUGGUGAUCGGCAUCAUCACAUCCAUUGUACUCUCCUUUCAGUAUGUGCCGUGGCUGAAUAUGCUGUAUGGUGCUUGUGGAGCAAUAGUCUUUACCUUGUUUUUGGCUUACCACACUCAGUUGCUCAUUGGAAACCGAGCGAACACCAUCAGCCCUGACGAAUAUGUCUUCGGAGCUCUUUCUCUCUAUGUUGAUAUCGUCCAGAUCUUCAUCUUCCUCUUGCACAUCACAGGAGGCUCUUCAGAGUAAACAGACUAAUGCGGAUGAGCAUUUCUGUCUCAAUCACCGAUCUCUCUUUGAGCUUAUCUGGACUUCUUCAAUCACACGCAUCUCAAAUAUCAUCUCCAACACUGUUAUAAACAUGAUUUUGUUAUGUUACUUUAUUUUGUUCUACGGAGGUUGCUCAUUCUAAGUUGAUUGUUACUUUAUUUUUAAUAAGCACUAUAUUCAUUUAUUUUUACUUUCCACCUGUUUAUUUGCAUUUUGAAGAACCUGCUGUAAAAGAUCUAAAACAGCUGCACUGUGAUUUGAUGAUAUCAAUAUUUAGUCUAUAACCUAAAGGGAAAUAAAAUUAAGAGAAACAGUAAACAAAUUCAUGAUGACUAUUGGCCAUAGUCAUGGGGAAGUCAUGGCCUAGUGGUUAGAGAGUAUGACUC